rnacentral:rRNA from 1 species
CCUACGGGAGGCAGCAGUGGGGAAUAUUGCACAAUGGGGGAAACCCUGAUGCAGCGACGCCGCGUGAGUGAAGAAGUAUUUCGUUAUGUAAAGCUCUAUCAGCAGGGAAGAAAAAGACGGUUCCUGAGUAAGAAGACCCGGCUAAAUAAGUGACAGCAGCCGCGGUUAUUAGGGGGAGGCAAGCGUUAUCCGGAUUUAUUGGGGUUAAAGGGUGCGUAGGCUGUGGAAGAAGUCAGCGGUGAAAUGCCCCCGCUCCACGGGGUGAAGGGCCAUUGAUACUGCCUUGCUGGAAUGCGGAUGCGGUGUGAGGAAUGUGUAGUGUAGCGGUGAAAUGCAUAGAUAUCACACAGAACACCGAUUGCGAAGGCAUCUCACGAAUCCGCGAUUGACGCUGAUGCACGAAAGCGUGGGUAUCAAACAGGAUUAGAUACCCGAGUAGUC